UGGGGAAUUUUGGACAAUGGGGGCAACCCUGAUCCAGCCAUGCCGCGUGCGGGAAGAAGGCCUUCGGGUUGUAAACCGCUUUUAUCCGGAAAGAAGGAGUCCAGGCUAAUACCCUGGAUGACUGACGGUACCGGAGGAAUAAGCACCGGCUAACUACGUGCCAGCAGCCGCGGUAAUACGUAGGGUGCGAGCGUUAAUCGGAAUUACUGGGCGUAAAGCGUGCGCAGGCGGUUCGUUAAGUCAGCUGUGAAAGCCCCGGGCUCAACCUGGGAAUUGCGGUUGAAACUGGCGAACUAGAAUCUGGCAGAGGGGGGUGGAAUUCCACGUGUAGCAGUGAAAUGCGUAGAGAUGUGGAGGAACACCGAUGGCGAAGGCAGCCCCCUGGGCUGAGAUUGACGCUCAGGCACGAAAGCGUGGGGAGCAAACAGGAUUAGAUACCCCUGUAGUCC
rnacentral:rRNA from 1 species